CCUACGGGCGGCUGCAGUGGGGAAUAUUGCACAAUGGGCGCAAGCCUGAUGCAGCCAUGCCGCGUGUGUGAAGAAGGCCUUCGGGUUGUAAAGCACUUUCAGCGGGGAGGAAGGCGUUAAGGUUAAUAACCUUGGCGAUUGACGUUACCCGCAGAAGAAGCACCGGCUAACUCCGUGCCAGCAGCCGCGGUAAUACGGAGGGUGCAAGCGUUAAUCGGAAUUACUGGGCGUAAAGCGCACGCAGGCGGUCUGUCAAGUCGGAUGUGAAAUCCCCGGGCUCAACCUGGGAACUGCAUUCGAAACUGGCAGGCUGGAGUCUUGAAGAGGGGGGUAGAAUUCCAGGUGUAGCGGUGAAAUGCGUAGAGAUCUGGAGGAAUACCGGUGGCGAAGGCGGCCCCCUGGACAAAGACUGACGCUCAGGUGCGAAAGCGUGGGGAGCAAACAGGAUUAGAUACCCGUGUAGUC
rnacentral:rRNA from 1 species